CCCAAAGACACCUCCUGGGUCACGCCGCUCUUAACGAGGCCACCUGGGGUCCAUGUGGAGGUAGACUCAAGCCUCCUGUGCGAUAAAGACACACGAAGACGACGUCUCGAUUCCACUUAGGGGAUUGUCUACGUUUUUUGUUGACAAAACGAUCUUACACAAGGGUCGACUUCCUCAACCUCUAACGUGAAACAGUCUGCCUACAUCUCGUCAGCGUGUGCAGGUUUGGCGGGAUCAUGGCUUCCUCCUUUCCCCGCCGUCGACUUCAGACCCAACGCCAGUGCCUCAGUCUGCCCGGCAAAAGGACCUGAGCUGUUCCCUGACUGGCUCCCCUCUUGGGCCGUCCCAUCAAAGCCUGUAUUUUCAAAGUUUUCUAUUGGCUCUUGGAGGAUAGCAGCGCCUUCUGGAGGUCCUGAUUGGCCGAGUUCAGAGGGCGGCGAUGGUGAGUCGGACUGGACAGCCGGACUGUCGGCAUCCUCUGCUGUUGGCUGGGAGGACGAGGGGUCUGUCAGGAUGUUUCUGGAAAUUACUAAAAUGACAGAAAAUAUUAUUUCUCUUAUCUCUUGUGUUAAAUAUAACAUCUCAGAUGACUACCUGACAAUUCACCACUAGCUCAAGGGUUGAAUUUGGCAUGAACUGGUAGAUAUGGGUAAUUUGUUGGCAUGUUGUUAUAUGUAUGUAUGUGUGUGUGACCGGAUCUAAACGUUUUUGGUUUACACUUUGUGCAGCACGAGUGUUUUCUUUUAGCACUUUGUAAUCUAUGGAUUUAAUAAAUGCUAAAUAAAUACAUUA